UCCACCAACAGAUGAUCCGUUCAUGCCCCGUUGUGCCAGCUGCUGGACGACAAUACGUCGGCUAAGGCGAUAAGCGAAACAUGGAAACGUUCCGUUUGCAUAAAACUUGGAAAUCGGUAGAAUUGUGAUUGAAAAAUGACGCUUCUGUCCCACCUAAAGGCGUGUGUCGUUUUUUUUGGUUUCAUAUUUAAACUAUGUGCCGAAGACAACAGUGACGAAGAUAGAAGUUGAAGAAGGUGAGCCAGUAACCGCUGGGGUGGCAGGAGACGGGUUGAACUGUUAAUCGCAAUUAUAAAGGCGUAAAGGUCUAACGCAGGCAACAGCGUAUACGUCAGGCCGGCACUGAUUCUACGACACGAUCAGCGGAACCUACUGGCCACGAAAUUACGUACGACAACGAUCAAACCUAAAAUACAUCUCUAGGCACCUUUCACAUGAUACACGUCGCUCGUAAAUCGUUACGCGAACGGACACUGCGACAAUCGAUCGUGGCUUAAACGUGUGGAUCUUGGUUUCCGUUGAGCUACUGCCAUCAUUGACCAGAGGAAUCACUGCAAAGGCGCUCAGACAUUUCUGUCCCCUGACGCAAGCAUUCAAUGACGGGAAAAGCUGUGAGGCAGGAGUAUAAACUACUUUCUGCAAGUGUCUAUGCUAUACUAACACAUAUCUCCUUAAAAAUCGAUAAUCAUCCCUAUAUAGCUCGCUUCGUUACUGAACAGCAUCCAACAUUUAAGGGAUUUUCUAUUAGAGAAUAUAGGUUGAUUCAUCAAUACCGGUUGCAUGUAUGUAUGUAUGUAUGUAUGUAUAUAUAUAUAUAUAUAUAUGUUUAAUUAUUGGCGAUCUGAGCAAAAACAAAUAACUUAUUAUUUAAUCGAGAGAAAGAGAAGUGGCUCAAUAGUACAAAACAUGUCUAUUCUACAGAAAGGUGUCUACUUUCCAACUGUUUUGGACAAACGUAAGAAGGAACCUUUUUCGCGGAACAAUAACGAAACGAAGUCGGCUGAUCUACAGCCAGUGCGCGAAUCAUCCACAUGUUUCUCUACAAGACACCACCGUAAGGAGAUUAAGAGUCACGUUUAUCCGUCCGCAGUGAGACAUCUGCAUGCACAGCACAUAGCUCAUACACAUUAUUAAGCUGGGUUCUUAUGGCACACAUCAUAAGUAGGGUAGCUAUAGCGUCGUGUGAAGAAAUAGGUCAAAACGAAUAGGAUAACUAUCUGGCUAGCAGGCAGAGGAGUAUUUCAGCAAAGAAUUUUCAUGCCACUACAAUUAAUGGGGAGCAUCUUGUACGUCAGCCUCCCUGUAAUGGGGGCUGUCGCUUAUCUUCAAUAUGUUAACUCAUCAAUUAUUGUUGUCUUUAGUAGCAGGUCUAUAUUCAGCGCGAGCGAGAUUUUCUAUUAAAAACCGCUCGUCUUGUUAGUUCUAUAGGGGCCGUUCGAACUUUGCGUCUAUAAUGCCUUCUCUGUAAUAGUGACUGCAUAGCUAAAUAACCGAUAACAGGCAACAGCAAAAAGCAACUGUCAGUAUUGUGGACACCAAUUGCCAUCGUCGUUGUCGGCAUUGAGAUGAUCAGGAUCUUCAUCGCUUGCACCGCCCUCCUCUCAUAGGCCGUCUGCUUGUCACGCCCAAGACAAGUGUAUAUAUCCUAAUGACUUGUCUUGCUGACUGGUCCACUCGAGCAUUGUCUCUUGCCUGUUGCUUACUAUUCGUUGUGCAAUAGCUUUCCUCGUUGCGGACCGCCGCUAUCACAUCGAUAGCAUCACUCUUCGCCGUCGCUUAUUGGCAACACAUUUGUCGGCUGAAGAUUUAGCUAGAGCUAGCUGUCAUUGACCUAACGUGCCAUUGCUAGCAAGAAUGAGUCUCACAUACAUAGGGUUCUGAAGUUACCCCUCGUUGUCUUUAGCACACGAAAAGCAUAUGAAACUUGAUGACGACGACGACGACGAUGGCAGCGGCUGUGAUUGCAGCCCGUAAAAGAACAAGUCAAAUAUAAUAAACUUACUUGUGUAGCCAUUUGCUUUUCUCUCUCAAUAGAUAUGCGUGUGUAUCUGGAUAUAUAUGUGUGUAUACAUUAUAGAUGUGCAGUUAUCCCAAGAGUACUAUGCCGGUUCGUGCGCCCCUACAAAGCGAUACGGCGCCGAUCUUCCACGGUCAACAGCGUUUAACGGAGAGAGCGAGAGAGAGAGGUAGACAAUAAGGAGUUGGCAUAUCCUGUUACUUUGUUUAUAGCUUUCGCGCGGCGUGGGUGAAAAUUCGGACGCGAACGAGAAGUCUUCAAACCGUGGAUCACAAAACGGCGUCCUACAACGCUCGAGUCAUUCCGCGGGCCGCAAACUCCACACGGAGUAGACUGUAAAGUAAAACCGCCGACGACAAUAACAACAUACAGUGACGCAUACGGCGCUUAAGUUAAGCGGUGACGCCGCGUAGGAAUAUUACGGGGGCUGGCAAAAAGAUGGGGGAAAGUCCGAGAAGAUGGUAGAUAUGCACAAAACGUAUUGCUGUUGUGGCUCUUUUUGUACGACUGUAGCGAAGACAUGUUGAAGACCAUCGAGCAGCGCAACGGAUUGAGAUAUAUACGGUGACAGGCAGUGGAACGCUGUUGACGUCGGGAACGCGUAAAGACAAAGGACUCGCGGCAGAGAUCGUCGUACCAGCAGCAGCAGCAGCAGCAGCGGUAUUGCUGAAGGCAAUACUGUGGAGUACUUUACAGGGAAUGCCACAAAGACAGCGAGGAGAAAAGGUCCGCCAAAAACAUCAUUACAAGCAGGAACUGUAGAAGCAAAGUUUUCCUACAUCAACUACCUCGCCAUGAAGGUGCAAAGCCAGCGUUGACCUGAUUAGCUUCAGUGUGAAAGCAGUGUACUUGCGUCUUGUAAUCAUUACCGAUUUACCCUUCUAGAGUUCAGUCUGCUGGAAGACGCAUUAACUGAGAAACAGUCACCUUCAUAAGCGCAGGGAACCUUCAGCUAGGUACUGAUACAAGUGAAGAAAAGUCCACAGAUAAAUCUAGUGUUCUAUGU
rnacentral:lncRNA from 1 species